UACGGGGGGAGCAAGCGUUGUUCGGAUUUACUGGGCGUAAAGGGCGCGUAGGCGGCCACCGCAAGUCGGUUGUGAAAUCUCUGGGCUUAACCCAGAACGGUCAGCUGAUACUGCGGGGCUAGAGUGCAGAAGGGGCAACUGGAAUUCUCGGUGUAGCGGUGAAAUGCGUAGAUAUCGAGAGGAACACCUGCGGCGAAGGCGGGUUGCUGGGCUGACACUGACGCUGACAGCGCGAAAGCUAGGGGAGCGAACGGG
rnacentral:rRNA from 1 species